AUGCGGAAAUCAGCUAGGCACUUCUACGAGCACUCAAAUAAGAGCGGUCGACUCCUAGCACAAGUGCUCCGGGAGAAGCGUAGAGCCCAACAUAUCCACCAGAUACACACCAGACAAGGUCAGACCACCAGACUGCCUGAAGGCAUUAUGCCAGCAUUUAGGGCCUAUUACAUGGACCUUUACAACCAAGCUAGGCCCAUGCAAGGGACAGAAGCCCAAAACCACCGCAGGAGAG